UUCUAUCUAAUAUUUCCUGCUGCUCACACUCAAGAAAACUCUGGGGAACUGUGGGGGUGGUGGGUAAACGCCCCACAGAAGAUCUCUUGCAAGCCUGUAAUCUUUGGGAGGCAAGAGUAGGAGGAUCACAAGUUCAAGGCCUAUCUGGACUACUUAGUUUAAAGUCAUCCUACAGCUGGGCAGUGGUGGCGCACGCCUUUAUCCCAGCACUCAGGAGGCAGAGGCAGAGGCAGGCGGAUCUCUGUGAGUUCAAGGCCAGCCAAACAAAGGGGGGAAAACAAGUCAUCCCAGACAAGUUAGUGAAACUGUCUCAAAAGCAGGGCCAGGGCUGGAGAGACGGCUCAGUGGUUAAGAGUACCGGCAGCUCUCCCAGAGGACCUGAGUUCAGUUCCCA